CUUGAAAUACCACCCUUUAAUGUUUGAUGUUCUAACGUGGACCCGUAAUCCGGGUUGCGGACAGUGUCUGGUGGGUAGUUUGACUGGGGCGGUCUCCUCCUAAAGAGUAACGGAGGAGCACGAAGGUUGGCUAAUCCUGGUCGGACAUCAGGAGGUUAGUGCAAUGGCAUAAGCCAGCUUGACUGCGAGCGUGACGGCGCGAGCAGGUGCGAAAGCAGGUCAUAGUGAUCCGGUGGUUCUGAAUGGAAGGGCCAUCGCUCAACGGAUAAAAGGUACUCCGGGGAUAACAGGCUGAUACCGCCCAAGAGUUCAUAUCGACGGCGGUGUUUGGCACCUCGAUGUCGGCUCAUCACAUCCUGGGGCUGAAGUAGGUCCCAAGGGUAUGGCUGUUCGCCAUUUAAAGUGGUACGCGAGCUGGGUUUAGAACGUCGUGAGACAGUUCGGUCCCUAUCUGCCGUGGGCGCUGGAGAACUGAGGGGGGCUGCUCCUAGUACGAGAGGACCGGAGUGGACGCAUCACUGGUGUUCGGGUUGUCAUGCCAAUGGCACUGCCCGGUAGCUAAAUGCGGAAGAGAUAAGUGCUGAAAGCAUCUAAGCACGAAACUUGCCCCGAGAUGAGUUCUCCCUGAGACUUAGAGUCUCCUGAAGGAACGUUGAAGACGACGACGUUGAUAGGCCGGGUGUGUAAGCGCAGCGAUGCGUUGAGCUAACCGGUACUAAUGAACCGUGAGGCUUAACCUUACAACGCCGAAG
rnacentral:rRNA from 2 species